GUGCUCGCUCCAGCAGCAUUUUAGACUAAAAUUGGAACAAUACAGAGAAGAUUAGUAUGGCCCCUGUGCAAGGAUGAUGCACAAAAAUUUACUGGACUCGGCCUCUUA